rnacentral:rRNA from 1 species
AGUGGGGAAUAUUGCACAAUGGGCGCAAGCCUGAUGCAGCCAUGCCGCGUGUAUGAAGAAGGCCUUCGGGUUGUAAAGUACUUUCAGCAGUGAGGAAGGCGGGUGUGUUAAUAGCGCAUUCGUUUGACGUUAGCUGCAGAAGAAGCACCGGCUAACUCCGUGCCAGCAGCCGCGGUAAUACGGAGGGUGCGAGCGUUAAUCGGAAUUACUGGGCGUAAAGCGCAUGCAGGUGGUUUGUUAAGUCAGAUGUGAAAGCCCGGGGCUCAACCUCGGAAUUGCAUUUGAAACUGACAGACUAGAGUACUGUAGAGGGGGGUAGAAUUUCAGGUGUAGCGGUGAAAUGCGUAGAGAUCUGAAGGAAUACCGGUGGCGAAGGCGGCCCCCUGGACAGAUACUGACACUCAGAUGCGAAAGCGUGGGGAGCAAA